rnacentral:rRNA from 1 species
UACGAAGGGGGCUAGCGUUGCUCGGAAUGACUGGGCGUAAAGGCGCGUAGGCGGCUCAUACAGUCAGAUGUGAAAUUCCUGGGCUUAACCUGGGGGCUGCAUUUGAUACGUGUGGGCUUGAGUGGGGAAGAGGGUCGUGGAAUUCCCAGUGUAGAGGUGAAAUUCGUAGAUAUUGGGAAGAACACCGGUGGCGAAGGCGGCGACCUGGUCCUUGACUGACGCUGAGGCGCGAAAGCGUGGGGAUCAAACAGG